rnacentral:rRNA from 1 species
UACGAAGGGGACUAGCGUUGUUCGGAAUCACUGGGCGUAAAGCGCACGUAGGCGGAUUCGUAAGUCAGGUGUGAAAUCCCGGGGCUCAACCUCGGAACUGCCUUUGAUACUGCGGGUCUUGAGUCCGAUAGAGGUGGGUGGAAUUCCUAGUGUAGAGGUGAAAUUCGUAGAUAUUAGGAAGAACACCGGUGGCGAAGGCGGCUCACUGGCUCAUAGCUGACGCUCAGGCGCGACAGCGUGGGGAGCAAACAGG